rnacentral:lncRNA from 1 species
CGCGGGGCAGCUCCUGUGACCCCUGCAGCCAGCGAACCAGCACAUCCUUGGGGCUGAAGCCACGUGCCAGGCACGUCAGCGUCACCAGCUCGUUCAGGGCCAGCUCCUCCGACGGCGGCGGCAGCAGGUGGACCUCGGUGGGGUCUUCAACUCGGGGUGGGCAGCAGUGCAGGUGAAGGUCUCCCCAUGGUUCCAUGGCUGGGCACAGCCAGGCAGGACACUGGACACGCUGUAGCAGCCACAGAGGUCACGCUCAGGCCGGUCAGUGUGCACGUGAGGUUCGCUUCUGAACCUAAGAGCAGGUCCUCGAGGGCCGGUCGGUGCAGCGACAGUCGGGGGUGGCAGCAUGGGGGAGGUGGGGGAACUGGAGUGGAGAGA